GACGAACGCUGGCGGCGUGCUUAACACAUGCAAGUCGAACGGAAAGGCCCUGCUUGUGUGUGGUGCUCGAGUGGCGAACGGGUGAGUAACACGUGAGUAACCUGCCCUUGACUUUGGGAUAACUUCAGGAAACUGGGGCUAAUACAGGAUCGGAGAUCCUGCUGCAUGGUGUGGGUUGGAAAGUUUCGGCGGAUGGGGAUGGACUCGCGGCUUAUCAGCUUGUUGGUGGGGUAGUGGCUUACGAAGGCUUUGACGGGUAGCCGGCCUGAGAGGGUGACCGGCCACAUUGGGACUGGGAUACGGCCCAGACUCCUACGGGAGGCAGCAGUGGGAAAUAUUGCACAAUGGGCGGAAGCCUGAUGCAGCAUCGCCGCGUGCGGGAUGACGGCCUUCGGGUUGUAAACCGCUUUCGCCUGUGACGAAGCGUGAGUGACGGUAAUGAGUAAAGAAGCACCGGCUAACUACGUG
rnacentral:rRNA from 1 species